rfam:Glycine soja cultivar W05 scaffold2242_33, whole genome shotgun sequence.
GGUCUAUUAACUUAAUUGGUUAGAGCUUUGUGUUAAUAAUAUGAAAGUCAUAGAUUUAAAUCCUAUAUGGAUCA